UACGUAGGGUGCAAGCGUUGUCCGGAAUUACUGGGCGUAAAGAGCUCGUAGGUGGUUUGUCACGUCGUCUGUGAAAUUCCACAGCUUAACUGUGGGCGUGCAGGCGAUACGGGCUGACUUGAGUACUGUAGGGGUAACUGGAAUUCCUGGUGUAGCGGUGAAAUGCGCAGAUAUCAGGAGGAACACCGAUGGCGAAGGCAGGUUACUGGGCAGUCACUGACGCUGAGGAGCGAAAGC
rnacentral:rRNA from 1 species